rnacentral:rRNA from 1 species
ACUCAAAGGAAUUGACGGGGGCCCGCACAAGCGGUGGAGCAUGUGGUUUAAUUCGACGCAACGCGAAGAACCUUACCAAGGCUUGACAUCCCGCUGUAAGCAUCAGAGAUGAUGCCCCUCUUCGGAGCGGCGGAGACAGGUGGUGCAUGGUUGUCGUCAGCUCGUGUCGUGAGAUGUUGGGUUAAGUCCCGCAACGAGCGCAACCCCUAUGUUUAGUUGCCAGCAAGUGAAGUUGGGGACUCUAGACAGACUGCCGGUGACAAACCGGAGGAAGGUGGGGAUGACGUCAAAUCAUCAUGCCCCUUAUGUCUUGGGCUACACACGUGCUACAAUGGACGGUACAGACGGAAGCGAAGCCGUGAGGUGAAGCAAAACUGAAAAAGCCGUUCCCAGUUCGGAUUGUAGGCUGCAACUCGCCUACAUGAAGUCGGAAUCGCUAGUAAUCGCAGGUCAGCAUACUGCGGUGAAUACGUUCCCGGGCCUUGUACACACCGCCCGU